rnacentral:rRNA from 1 species
UACGUAGGGGGCGAGCGUUGUCCGGAGUUACUGGGCGUAAAGCGCACGCAGGCGGUCUGCUAAGUUUGGAGUGACAGUUGGUGGCUUAACUGCCAAAGUGCUUCGAAAACUGACAGACUUGAGGGCUUCAGAGGGACACGGAAUUCCGGGUGUAGUGGUGAAAUGCGUAGAGAUCCGGAGGAACACCAGUGGCGAAGGCGGCUCGCUGGGCUCAACCUGACGCUGAGGCGCGAAAGCUAGGGGAGCGAACAGG